AUAAUAUCGUCACAGCGACGAUAUUAUCGUUUCAAAAACGAUAUUAUCGUCCCCGACGAUAAUACACUCGGAGAUUUUUCCCUAGCCCAUGAAUUUCAUGCGGGGUUCUUAGCAACCCAAAGUUUGGAAAAGUCUUUUCGUUUAAACUUAAUUUUUUGGUAAUUUCCUUUCGCUGCAGUCUAAAUUCGUUUUGAAAUGACAAAAUUUGAACUCAAACAAAAUUCUCUCAGUCCAGUUAAUCAAUUCAUAAAAUCUAUCAGCUCAUUUUUCCACAAUUUGAAUUCAAAAUUUGAUAACUAUGCUUGUACCAGUAGCAUAUUUAAACCAGCCGGGCUGUACGUUAUGAUCGUUACCGUCUAUAUGUUUAUAUCCAACAUUGUCGGAUUCAUCAGAAUGGUGAUAGAACGAACGGAUGUCAUAUCGACAAAUCAGUCGAAGAAUCUUUACGAGUUGACAAACUUGACGAUAUUCCAUGUGAUCCCUUGGUUAAACUUCAACGUUCAUGACAUAAAAUUGGUUCUUCAAUAUUGUGAAGUUCUGCGGCUUUACUGGAUGUUCAAAGAUUUUAUGCAGGAUAAUUUCGAAUCCUUAGAAGCCCUAGGCGACACCUUCAAUUUAGUUCAAUAUCCGAUACGUUUAAUAAUCGCCGUGGUACGUUGCUCGUUUUCCGAAAAUGGUUCUAUCGAAUUUGCGUUGAUCACUAGCGAGAUGCUCGAUAUGCUGCUCAAAAUUGUUGACUGGUCAAUGCUACGAUGCUAUGUAUUCAAUGCUACGAAGUAAAUCGUUUGACGAAUAAAAA